rnacentral:rRNA from 1 species
GAUGAACGCUAGCGGAAGGCUUAAUACAUGCAAGUCGAGCGGUAUAGUGACUUCGGUUGCUAGAGAGCGGCGCACGGGUGAGUAACGCGUACAUGACCUACCUCUAAGAUCGGGAUAGCCCUGGGAAACUGGGAUUAAUACCGGAUGUGAUAAUAAGUAUAAGGAUUUAUUAUUAAAGUUGAGGCGCUUAGAGAUGGGUGUGCGUCUGAUUAGCUAGUUGGUAGGGUAAGGGCCUACCAAGGCGACGAUCAGUAGGGGGCGUGAGAGCGUGAUCCCCCACACGGGUACUGAGACACGGACCCGACUCCUACGGGAGGCAGCAGUAGGGAAUAUUGGUCAAUGGACGGAAGUCUGAACCAGCCAUUCCGCGUGCAGGAAGAAGGUCCUAUGGACUGUAAACUGCUUUUAGCAGAGAAGAAACGCCUUCAUUUAUGAGGGUCUGACGGUAUCUGCGGAAUAAGCACCGGCUAACUCCGUGCCAGCAGCC